rnacentral:rRNA from 1 species
ACUGAGGGUGCGAGCGUUAAUCGGAAUUACUGGGCGUAAAGCGAGUGUAGGCGGUUACCUAAGUCGGAUGUGAAAGCCCCGGGCUUAACCUGGGAAUUGCAUUCGAUACUGGGUGACUGGAGUUUGGUAGAGGUAAGUGGAAUUCCGGGUGUAGCGGUGAAAUGCGUAGAUAUCCGGAGGAACAUCAGUGGCGAAGGCGGCUUACUGGACCAAAACUGACGCUGAGGCUCGAAAGCGUGGGUAGCAAACAGGAUUAGAUACCCUGGUAGUCCACGCCCUAAACUAUGUCAACUAGACGUUGGGCUCAUUAAUGAGCUUAGUGUCGUAGCUAACGCGUUAAGUUGACCGCCUGGGGAGUACGGCCGCAAGGUUG